rnacentral:rRNA from 1 species
AUUCCAGCUCCAAUAGCGUAUUGUAAGGUUGUUGCAGUUAAAAAGCUCGUAGUUGGAUUUCGGGCUCGACGGCGACGGUCAGCCGCAAGGUAUGUCACUGUCGGCGUUGGCCUUCUUCGCGCAGACUUCGCGUGCUCUUAACUGAGUGUGCGUUGGAUACGCGACGUUUACUUUGAAAAAAUUAGAGUGUUCAAAGCAGGCUUGUGCUUGGAUACAUAAGCAUGGAAUAAUGGAAUAGGACUUUGGUUCUAUUUUCCGUUGGUUUCUGGAACCGAAGUAAUGAUUAAUAGGGACAGUUGGGGGCAUUCGUAUUUCGUUGUCAGAGGUGAAAUUCUUGGAUUUACGAAAGACGAACUAAUGCGAAAGCAUUUGCCAAGAAUGUUUUCAUUA